CGAAAUGCUUGACUAGCAAUCCCAUAAACCGUGGCUCAGUUCAGAUCGUAGGCUGCAACUCGCCUACGUGAAGUAGGAAUCGCUAGUAAUCGCAGGUCAGCAUACUGCGGUGAAUACGUUCCCGGGCCUUGUACACACCGCCCGUCACACCAUGGAAGUUGGCCAUGCCCGAAGUCGUUACUCCAACCCUUGUGGAGGAGGACGCCGAAGGUGGGGCUAAUGACUGGGGUGAAGUCGUAACAAGGUAGCCGUACCGGAAGGUGCGGCUGGAUCACCUCCUAA
rnacentral:rRNA from 1 species